AGUCUGUAGCUCAGCUGGAUAGAGCAACGGCCUUCUAAGCCGUGGGUCGGGGGUUCGAAUCCCUUCAGGCU
rnacentral:tRNA from 1 species